rnacentral:rRNA from 1 species
GACGAACGCUGGCGGCGUGCUUAACACAUGCAAGUCGAACGGAAAGGCCCUGCUUUUGUGGGGUGCUCGAGUGGCGAACGGGUGAGUAACACGUGAGUAACCUGCCCUUGACUUUGGGAUAACUUCAGGAAACUGGGGCUAAUAUCGGAUAGGAGCUCCUGCUGCAUGGUGGGGGUUGGAAAGUUUCGGCGGUUGGGGAUGGACUCGCGGCUUAUCAGCUUGUUGGUGGGGUAGUGGCUUACCAAGGCUUUGACGGGUAGCCGGCCUGUGAGGGUGACCGGCCACAUGGGGACUGAGAUACGGCCCAGACUCGUACGGUAGGCAGCAGUGGGGAGUAUGGCACAGUGGGCGGAAGCCUGAUGCAGCAACGCCGCGUGCGGGAUGACGGCCUUCGGGUUGUAAACCGCUUUCGCCUGUGACGAAGCGUGAGUGACGGUAAUGGGUAAAGAAGCACCGGCUAACUACGUG